rnacentral:rRNA from 1 species
CGAUGAAGCCCUUCGGGGUGGAUUAGUGGCGAACGGGUGAGUAACACGUGGGCAAUCUGCCCUUCACUCUGGGACAAGCCCUGGAAACGGGGUCUAAUACCGGAUAACACCUUCCUCUGCAUAGNGGUUGGUUAAAAGCUCCGGCGGUGAAGGAUGAGCCCGCGGCCUAUCAGCUUGUUGGUGGGGUAAUGGCCUACCAAGGCGACGACGGGUAGCCGGCCUGAGAGGGCGACCGGCCACACUGGGACUGAGACACGGCCCAGACUCCUACGGGAGGCAGCAGUGGGGAAUAUUGCACAAUGGGCGAAAGCCUGAUGCAGCGACGCCGCGUGAGGGAUGACGGCCUUCGGGUUGUAAACCUCUUUCAGCAGGGAAGAAGCGAAAGUGACGGUACCUGCAGAAGAAGCGCCGGCUAACUACGUGCCAGCAGCCGCGGUAAUACGUAGGGCGCAAGCGUUGUCCGGAAUUAUUGGGCGUAAAGAGCUCGUAGGCGGCUUGUCACGUCGGAUGUGAAAGCCCGGGGCUUAACCCCGGGUCUGCAUUCGAUACGGGCUAGCUAGAGUGUGGUAGGGGAGAUCGGAAUUCCUGGUGUAGCGGUGAAAUGCGCAGAUAUCAGGAGGAACACCGGUGGCGAAGGCGGAUCUCUGGGCCAUUACUGACGCUGAGGAGCGAAAGCGUGGGGAGCGAACAGGAUUAGAUACCCUGGUAGUCCACGCCGUAAACGUUGGGAACUAGGUGUUGGCGACAUUCCACGUCGUCGGUGCCGCAGCUAACGCAUUAAGUUC